rnacentral:rRNA from 1 species
UGCUACAAUGCAGUCGAGCGAUGAUGCCCAGCUUGCUGGGCGGAUUAGUGGCGAACGGGUGAGUAAUACGUGAGUAACCUGCCCUUGACUCUGGGAUACCCCUGGGAAACUGGGUCUAAUACUGGAUACUACCUCUUACCGCAUGGUGGGUGGUGGAAAGGGUUUUACUGGUUUUGGAUGGCCUCACGGCCUAUCAGCUUGUUGGUGGGGUAAUGGCUCACCAAGGCGACAACGGGUAGCCGGCCUGAGAAGGUGACCGGCCACUCUGGGACUGAGACACCGCCCAGACUCCUACAGGAGGCCCCAAUGCGUAAUAUUGCACAAUGGGCGGAAUCCUGAUGCAUCGACGCCGCGUGAAGGAUGACGGCCUUCGGGUUGUAAACCUCUUUCAGUAUGGAAGAAGCGAGAGUGACGGUACCUGCAGAAGAAGCGCCGGCUAACUACGUGCCAGCAGCCGCGUUAAUACGUACGGCGCAUGCGUUGUCCGGAAUUAUUGGGCGUAUACAGCUCGUAGGCGGUUUGUCGCGUCUGCUGGGAAAGCCCGGGGCUCAACCCCGGGUCUGCAGUGGGAACUGACAGACUACAGUGCAGUAGGGGAGACUGGAAUUCCUGGUGUAGCGUUGAAAUGCGCAGAUAUCAGUAGGAUCACCGAUGGCGAAGGCAUGUCUCUGGACUGUUACUGACGCUGAAGAGCCAAAGCCUGGUCAGC